AACGUAGGGGGCAAGCGUUGUCCGGAUUUAUUGGGCGUAAAGCGCUCGCAGGUGGUUCAUUGCGUCGUGCGUGAAAGACCCCGGCUCAACUGGGGAGGGUCGUGCGAAACGGGUGAACUAGAGGCCAGUAGGGGGAUGCGGAAUUCCGGGUGUAGUGGUGGAAUGCGUAGAGAUCCGGAGGAACACCAGCGGCGAAGGCGGCAUCCUGGACUGGUCCUGACACUCAGGAGCGAAAGCGUGGGGAGCGAUCCGG
rnacentral:rRNA from 1 species